UAACCAAGGAUGGCAUUCAAGCACUAG
rnacentral:piRNA from 1 species